UGAGGGAAUAUUGGGUCAAUGGGCGAAAGCCUGAACCAGCCAUGCCGCGUGAAGGACUAAGGCCCUAUGGGUCGUAAACUUCUUUAGACGCAGAGCAAUAAGGGUCUCGCGAGAUCCGAUGAGAGUAUGCGUAGAAUAAGCAUCGGCUAACUCCGUGCCAGCAGCCGCGGUAAUACGGGGGGAUGCGAGCGUUAUCCGGAUUUAUUGGGUUUAAAGGGUGCGUAGGCGGCGCGUCAAGCCGGUGGUAAAAUUGCGGGGCUCAACCCCGUAGAGCCAUCGGAACUGGCGUGCUUGAGUGGAGAAGAAGUAUGCGGAAUGCGAGGUGUAGCGGUGAAAUGCAUAGAUAUCGCGCAGAACUCCGAUUGCGAAGGCAGCGUACUAUUCUCCAACUGACGCUGAGGCACGAAAGCGUGGGGAUCGAACAGGAUUAGAUACCCUGGUAGU
rnacentral:rRNA from 1 species